UGGGUCUACCUUGUGGACUGGGAGGGCUAUGGCCCUGAAGAUAGGUCCUGGGUACCGGCCUCUUACAUCGCCGACCCCUCCCUUAUCAAGGACUUUUACAGAGCUCACCCCGAGGCACCCCGAAGCUCGCCGGGAGUCUCGCGUAAGAGGGGGGGUGCUGUUAUGGGUCACACUCCUGCUUCCUCUCUUCCUGCUAUGUCUCCUCCUGCUGGGCGUCCGGACAAGCACACCACGGGCCACUCCCACAUGUGCUCUCUCUCCGCUGCGGGCGUGCCUCCUCGCACCUGCAAACACUCACCAAACUACACACCUGCCUGUGAUGAGCGAGCUGCCUUCAAGAGCAGACGCAGCCUGAGAUCCGACGCGAGAACGUAGCUUCACGUACCCAGUACACCUCCCGCCAUCCUUCCUUGUCGUCGAGUUGUGUGUCUCGUCACCUUGGACCUCCCGUGGAUUUUCCCUUGCCUUCCUGGACAUCGACCUCACGCCUGCCUAACGACCACGAAACCAAGCUCCUGCCCUUGACCAUCUGCCUGCUCCCCGACGUUCGAUUCCGCCUUGCUCCUUGCUGGACUUCUGCCUGGAUCCCAACACGCAUCCUCAACACCCUCUGGCAACCAUACUCAGAUAAGUCUCACACUUCGUCACACUACAUCUCUUUGGUUAAAUACACAUCUCACUCACACACUAAACUGUCAUUAAAUACGCUGACAGCUAA